rnacentral:rRNA from 1 species
AUUGAACGCUGGCGGCAGGCCUAACACAUGUAAGUCGAACGAGUGGCGGACGGGUGAGUAAUGUCUGGGAAACUGCCCGAUGGUGGGGUAUAACUACUGGAAACGGUAGCUAAUACCGCAUACCAUCAGAUGUGCUCAGAUGGGAUUAGCUUGUUGGUGGGGUAACGGCUCACCAAGGCGACGAUCCCUAGCUGGUCUGAGUGGAUGACCAGCGAAACGUGAACUGAGACACGGUCCAUACUCCUACGGGAGGCAGCAGUGGGGAAGAUUGCACAAUGGGCGCAAGCCUGAUGCAGCCAUGCCGCGUGUAUGAAGCAGGCCUUCGGGUUGUAAAGUACUUUCAGCGGGGAGGCGUUACCCGCAGAAGAAGCACCGGCUAACUCCGUGCCAGCAGCCGCGGUAAUUC